GUGCUUGUAGUAAAGGAUUAUAUUUAGUUUAGGUCUAAGGGGUUUAGGGGCAUU
rnacentral:tRNA from 1 species